UACAGAGGUCCCCGAGCGUUGUUCGGAUUCAUUGGGCGUAAAGGGUGCGUAGGCGGUCUGCUAAGUUUGGUGUGAAAUCCCGGGGCUCAACCCUGGAAUUGCAUUGAAUACUGGUGGACUAGAGUACUGGAGAGGAAACUGGAAUUUACGGUGUAGCAGUGAAAUGCGUAGAUAUCGUAAGGAAGGCCGGUGGCGAAAGCGAGCCUCUGGACAGUUACUGACACUGAGGCACGAAGGCCAGGGGAGCAAACGGG
rnacentral:rRNA from 1 species